UACGAAGGGGGCUAGCGUUGUUCGGAAUUACUGGGCGUAAAGCGCACGUAGGCGGCUUUGUAAGUUAGAGGUGAAAGCCCGGGGCUCAACUCCGGAACUGCCUCUAAGACUGCAUCGCUUGAAUCAUGGAGAGGUCAGUGGAAUUCCGAGUGUAGAGGUGAAAUUCGUAGAUAUUCGGAAGAACACCAGUGGCGAAGGCGGCUGACUGGACAUGUAUUGACGCUGAGGUGCGAAAGCGUGGGGAGCAAACAGG
rnacentral:rRNA from 1 species